CGACGCCAUCUUGGAUGAAAAGUGAUGUCUGUGGGGAUGGAGGAACUGCUGCWAACUCACACCGCGCCACCUAAAGGUUCCAGUAGAGGCUCCAGCCUAGAGGAAUGCCACUUCACAUCCAGCCUCCAAAUUUCAGAAACCUCCGGGGCGCCAAAAACAGCUAUAUGGACA